rnacentral:SRP_RNA from 2 species
GCUGGGCAUGGUGGCGCGUGCCUGUAGUCCCAGCUACUUGGGAGGCUGAGGCAGGGGAAUCGCUUGAACCGGGGAGGUGGAGGUUGCAGUAAGCCAAGAUUGCGCCACUGCACUCCAGCCUGGUGACAGAGUGAGAUUCUGUCUCAA